AUACAGAGGGCGCGAGCGUUAAUCGGAAUUACUGGGCGUAAAGCGCGCGUAGGCGGCUUAUUAAGUCAGAUGUGAAAUCCCCGGGCUCAACCUGGGAACUGCAUCUGAUACUGGUAAGCUAGAGUUUUGGAGAGGGAAGUAGAAUUUCAGGUGUAGCGGUGAAAUGCAUAGAGAUCUGAAGGAAUACCAGUGGCGAAGGCGACUUCCUGGCCAAAAACUGACGCUGAGGUGCGAAAGCGUGGGUAGCAAACGGGAUUAGAUACCCUAGUAGUCC
rnacentral:rRNA from 1 species